rnacentral:rRNA from 1 species
AGCAGCCGCGGUAAUUCCAGCUCCAAUAGCGUAUAUUAAAGUUGUUGCAGUUAAAAAGCUCGUAGUUGAACUUCGGGGUUUACUCAUUGGUCGGGCUUAAUUGUCUGUACUGGUGAGAUGAAUCUCUACCUUCUGAGGAACUUUCAUGCCAUUUAUUUGGUGUGGUUGGAAAUCAGGACUGUUACUUUGAAAAAUUAGAGUGUUUAAAGCAGGCUAACGUCUGAAUACAUUAGCAUGGAAUAAUGAAAUAGGACGGAUUGAUUCUAUUUCGUUGGUUUCUAGGGUCACCGUAAUGAUUAAUAGGGAUAGUUGGGGGCAUUAGUAUUCAAUUGUCAGAGGUGAAAUUCUUGGAUUUAUUGAAGACUAACUACUGCGAAAGCAUUUGCCAAGGAUGUUUUCAUUAAUCAAGAACGAAAGUUAGGGGAUCGAAGACGAUCAGAUACCGUCGUAGUCUUAACCAUAAACUAUGCCGACUAGGGAUCGGACGCAGUUAAUUUUAUAAUGACGUGUUCGGCACCUU